UGCAAGGUACAAUUUGAAGUGAUUGACAGAUGUAGCGUCCCCAAACCAGCAGAUCCUGCCAAAUUUACUUUUGCCUUAAAAAAUGGUGUUAAUACCAGUUAUGUACAAGUCAAUGCAACAAUCAUGAAACCAGUUGUAAUUAUUGAGAUGAAAAUAUCCGUAUAUGACCUGGAUGCCAAUCGGAAGCUGGCACUGGUGACCUACGAUGCGAAGACACCCUGUGACCAUUUCAUAGCUGCACCCGCUUUAGCUAUGAUUUUUAACACUAUCAACUGUUUAGUGCAACCGGGUAACUACUCUUCAGAUGUAGAUCUCCUCAAAAUGAUACACAUACUAUAUGGGCGUUCUAUGGUCUACGGCCACUAUAGGAGCAAAGCUUUGUUAAUAGCACAGGGAUAUGGUGCCAUAAGUUGUAAUUUAAUGGAAG